rnacentral:rRNA from 1 species
GAUGAACGCUGGCGGCGUGCCUAAUACAUGCAAGUCGAGCGAACAGAUGAGGAGCUUGCUCCUCUGACGUUAGCGGCGGACGGGUGAGUAACACGUGGAUAACCUACCUAUAAGACUGGGAUAACUUCGGGAAACCGGCGCUAAUACCGGAUAAUAUCUUGAACCGCACGGUUCAAUAGUGAAAGACGGUUUUGCUGUCACUUAUAGAUGGAUCCGCGCCGCAUUAGCUAGUUGGUAAGGUAACGGCUUACAAAGGCAACGAUGCGUAGCCGACCUGAGAGGCGGAUCGGCCACCCUGGAACUGAGACACCGUCCAGGCUCCUACGGGAGGCAGCAGUCGGGAAUCUUCCGCAAUGGUCGAAAGCCUGACGGAGCAACGCCGCGUGAGUUAUGAAGGUCUUCGGAUCGUAAAACUCUGUUAUUAGGGAAGAACAAAUGUGUAAGUAACUAUGCACGUCGUGACGGUACCUAAUCAGAAAGCCACGGCUAACUACGUG